UAUAGCUCCCAUGAAGCUGUCACAAUAAAAUGCCUCCCCCCCGGGGUCCCCUGGGUAAGCACCAGCGUUGUAUAUUGCUAACGCCUUUAUAUGCAUUGGAAAGUACCUUGGAAAGACUUGAAGGUGUGAGUGUGGAGCGAAAGAUUCCUUUGUAGAUUACGAGAGGCCAAAGGGGGAGGAAGGAAGAAAGGAACAGGUUAACUCAACGAUCCAGCUAGGCCCGAAGAUAAGAAACGAAACUGCAGCGCAAGGCAAGCGCACACAAACAAGCUCUGUGCUGCCAAACAGCCAGAUGCCUGUGUCUCAAUCCCGGCCAGCCGUGAAAAAGGAGACCUGAGCCAGACAGAACUGAAGGGGUUGCAAAACUAGUAAGAUUGGAAAAGUCGGUGAGAGCCUAAGGACACCCCUAGA